GACACUUUGGCCGAGUGGUUAAGGCGCGAGCCUGCUAUUUCCGAUAGCUUCGCCAGCUCGUGGGUUCGCCCGCGUGAGUUCGAAUCUCACAGGUGUCG